ensembl:lncRNA
CAACACCUGGCCAUGACACAGUCACAUGACACUGAGGUCAGAACGACACACAAUGCCUGGCUUUGUGUUCAGGUGUUCUUUUAGACUCCCAUGUGAUCAACUCUUUGUGACACAUGCAGAAAGAGCAGAAUAUAUGAACUCUCAUUUCCAGACCAAAGUAGCUUUAUUCGUGCAUCUUGACCACUUCCUGAUGCAAUUCAGAGAAAACAGACAACCAGCUUUUCUGGGACAUUAAAACAUGAAAUUUGUCUUGCUCAUUUUACCUUAGUCACAUUAUGUGGGCUAAACUGUUUGAAGAACAAAACGUGAAGUGUGAGAGCUACUUUGCAUUAUGCAUGUGAAAUACUUAAGUGUAUAAAUCAAAUCCAAGCAAUGACAUUGAGUCUAGACUUUAUUGUUCUUUCAUAUUGUGUGUGUGAAAUGUUUCAACAAUGACAAGCCAGAGAAAACGAAAAGAAAGGAUAAUUGUACAUUAUAAUCAUAGAAAUAUUGUAGAGGUGACAUGUUCAGACAGAAGCAAUAAUUCCCUGUGCAGCAGUUCCUUAGUGUGGUACUGAUUCAACCAUGUCAACCCUCUCAAUGGAUCCGAGACUGAUCAUUUUAAUACCCAGGAUAUUAAAUAUUUCAUCACCCACAGUUCAGCAAAUAAAUCACAAGACCUGUUCCCUUUUUAGGAAAAUUCACAAUUUAUUGAAUGAAUAAAAUCUACAAGCAUGUUGAAAAGUUGGACACUAUAGCAAUUUCAUAAAAAAUAAUGCACUCCACACAAGGUUCAAGGGUUAUUCAAGCUACUUUAUAUGUUGUGUACAAUGUGCUGUCAGACCGUACUGCAACAUUAGGUCACAGUGGUCAUCUUUCCAUUUCGGGAAAACUGAAUGAAAUGGGCAGCUCAUUGGCUCUCUCAACCUGCAGCAGAGAGAAGAACACUUUAGAACAGAUAGUCAUUUAGACCUACAUUACACACAGAAAUGUUACAUUAAAAAUUAUUAAACAUGAGGAGUUUAAAACAUUCAAAUCCGUAAAAACGACACUCUGGAUCACAGUUGUUUUAACGCCUUUACAAAAAAAUAUGUGGAGUCUUGCUCUGCAGUCGUGUCAUCAGAACAAAUUUUACUUUUGCACUUGUUAUCUUGUACUUUUAUACUUUCUUAUGUUUGUUCAAUGCUAUUUCAUUGACACCACGAAAGGCCAGGCCAGUUAAAUUUAUUAUUAAUUUUCAGAAUAAAAAAAAUAAACAUGAUUAUUUCAGAUGAUAAAAUUACUUUAAUAAUUAUUCUCAACUUUACAAUAUAUACAAUUAGUUUUGCCACAACAGUAAAUGUAGAAAAUGUUUUAAUAAAUUAUUUUUUUUAAUAAACAUAUUAUUUAUUUAUUUUUUAUUUUUUGGUUUCCAAGAUUAAGUUAAUGUCGCUUUCUGAUGCUGCGUUUGAAACAAACUUUGUUAUGGCUCAUUUCAUCACAAUUUCGAGUCAGAAUUAUUAGCCAGCAAAUACAAGCUCUUUUUGAGUAAAGAGCAAAGAGUGAUUCUCAAAAAAGUAUUUCUUAAAUAAAAGCUUUGUUAUUCCUCACUCUGGUCUAUAAGUGAUUUGACACAAAGCACUAAUUCUGACAUUAAGCCCUUACAAAUCCCUUGCUGCUCAUUUAGUCCAGCUCAAGCUACCAUGAUCAUUCCAUUUAUCAAGAACCUCGCUCUCUCUCUAAGGCACAAGGGAAGAGUCCUCAUAAGCAUCACAAAGUUUUCCACACAGCUUGCCAGUUUUAUUAAAAGUUGUCUAGCACUAGGAAGGAUUCUGACAUUCCCAAUAUUCCAGGCUGUCUGUCGGCAGGCUUACAAUGUAUUAUUAUACCUCUUUAAUAUAGAUACACACUUAAUCCAACUGUACAGUUUGAGGAGAACAGAUCAAUGAGAAAUAAAAAAUGGAGGAUUGUAGCAAAAUGAACUGUCUCCAUUGCCCUGUCAGACUUUAAGUGCACAUUCAUAAGUUGAAUUCUGAAAUGGUUUGGCGCUAAUAGACCCAGGAUGGCCCUCUGACAGCUGCUCUCAAGAUCUUUCUUCUCAAAUGAAACCUCAUCGUAGGCACUUUCUUCACUCAGGCGCCAUUGUGGAGCCAUUGUUUUCCUCGCUUCUGUGUUUUAAAUUUUGCAAUAAAAACAAACCAGCACAAUGCACGCACAAAGAUGAAAUGAUGCUUUAAAUUUCAUUGCCUUUGAGAUCUGACUCACAUCCUGAAACAUCAUCUUAGAUGAAAUGGACACUUCUCACUUUCCACAACUCCUUCCACCGACCAGGAGUUCGACAUCUCAACAGGCCUUCGAUUCUUCAACAAAAGGAAACUAAACCGUGCCUCAUUAUGAAACAUGAAUCAGGUGAAUCACUUCCAGUCUAAGCCAUUAUUAAGGUACAGUACAUGACUGACAAAAAAUAUCACCAAGUUCUCAAAAAUCUGCAUGUACUGUUCGCUAACAAAGAGGAGAACAAUAAUGGAGUGUCCGACACUUUCUUGUCUUCAGCUUUGUUCCUCCCCGUCCUCUCACAUGGUUUUUGCUUACACAUCUCCUUAUAACCUGAAAAGAGUGUGUUUUUUUUUUUCUUGUUGUGAAGAACACAGGUCUGGGAGGGUCUGUGUUUCUGCCUCCCCUCAUUAUUUCUUGUUUGCUGUUGGGCAAGAGAAUAACUUAUCCUAUUCCACUUAUCCCCUAUAGCUUUCACUCUCUUUGGUUAUUAUAGUAUUAUAUUUCUUAAAACCUUAGAAGGCGAUAACAAGCAUGAGAGGAGAGGACCUUUAUGCCAGUACAUAUACUGUUAGCUGUAUAUUGUGGAUGUUGCUUACGGUCAUGUUGCUUGUUAUAUUUGUCUCAUCUAGCCAUCUCCAUUCUAAAUCUCUUGUCCCAGAAAGUAAAUAAUUAAAUAUAAAAAGCAAGACAACAACAAAAAGUACUUCAACCCAGAGGAAUAAAUUAAAAGUGCUACAUACAGCACGCUGCCUCAGGAGAAGCAUAUGCCUUUGAUGUGUGGUCCAAGAUCGGCACAGAUGUGUUUUUCAGCAUCACUUUGCUUGUACUGACUCUGCAGAAUUCAUCAGCCUAUCUGUGUCAGAUUCUUCACCGACCGCACAUUAUUUCUCUGAGCAAUAAAAGAGGUGCUUGAGCCACUCUUUCCAGAACUGGACCCUGCGACUCAAUACAGUCUAUGCCAACCACUCCUGCUUGAUUCAACCCCACUGCUGUCCUGAAUGAAAAGAGAAACACCAUCUAUAGGUCUCAAAAACUAUCACCUACAUAUCAAAUUAAGUGUCUGGGUAUGCUUAAUACUCAAAAACUUGACCUAAUCACUAAAUACUACUGAUAAAAGGGACAGUAAUAAAUACAUUUGCAGUUUGGAACUCA